rnacentral:rRNA from 1 species
GAUGAACGCUGGCGGCGUGCUUAACACAUGCAAGUCGAACGAAGCACUUUAUUUGAUUUCCUCCGGGGAUGAAGAUUUUGUGACUGAGUGGCGGACGGGUGAGUAACGCGUGGGCAACCUGCCCCAUACCGGGGGAUAACAGCUGGAAACGGCUGCUAAUACCGCAUAAGCGCACAGUGCUGCAUGGCACAGUGUGAAAAACUCCGGUGGUAUGGGAUGGACCCGCGUCUGAUUAGCCAGUUGGCAGGGUAACGGCCUACCAAAGCGACGAUCAGUAGCCGACCUGAGAGGGUGACCGGCCACAUUGGGACUGAGACACGGCCCAAAACUCCUACGGGAGGCAGCAGUGGGGAAUAUUGCACAAUGGGGGAAACCCUGAUGCAGCGACGCCGCGUGAGCGAAGAAGUAUUUCGGUAUGUAAAGCUCUAUCAGCAGGAAGAAAAAAUGACGGUACCUGACUAAGAAGCACCGGCUAAAUACGUGCCAGCAGCCGACGG